CCUACGGGAGGCAGCAGUAGGGAAUAUUGGGCAAUGGAGGAAACUCUGACCCAGCCAUGCCGCGUGCAGGAUGACGGCCCUCUGGGUUGUAAACUGCUUUUAUACGGGAAGAAAAAAUACUACGUGUAGUAUACUGACGGUACCGUAAGAAUAAGGAUCGGCUAACUCCGUGCCAGCAGCCGCGGUAAUACGGAGGAUCCAAGCGUUGUCCGGAUUUAUUGGGUUUAAAGGGUGCGUAGGCAGAUCUUUAAGUCAGUGGUGAAAGCCUGCAGCUUAACUGUAGAACAGCCAUUGAAACUGGAGAUCUUGAAUGUGGUUAAAGUAGGCGGAAUGUAUCAUGUAGCGGUGAAAUGCUUAGAUAUGAUACAGAACACCGAUAGCGAAGGCAGCUUGCUGAACCAUUAUUGACGCUGAGGCACGAAAGCGUGGGGAGCGAACAGGAUUAGAUACCCUGGUAGUCCACGCCCUAAACGUUGAUUACUCGUUGUUGGCGAUAUACUGUCAGCGACCAAGCUAAAGCGUUAAGUAAUCCACCUGGGAAGUACGACCGCAAGGUUGAAACUCAAAGGAAUUGACGG
rnacentral:rRNA from 1 species